GCUACCAUGCAAGUCGACGGAGCUAUUUUGGAAACUUCCUUCGGGAAGUGGAAUCUUUAGCUUAGUGGCGGACGGGUGAGUAACGCGUGAGCAAUCUGCCUUUGGAUGGGGGAUAACAGCCGGAAACGGCUGCUAAUACCGCAUAAUGCAACGGGACCGCAUGGUUCUGCUGCCAAAGAUUUAUUGUCCAAAGAUGAGCUCGCGUCUGAUUAGCCAGUUGGCGGGGUAACGGCCCACCAAAGCGACGAUCAGUAGCCGGACUGAGAGGUUGAACGGCCACAUUGGGACUGAGACACGGCCCAGACUCCUACGGGAGGCAGCAGUGGGGAAUAUUGCGCAAUGGGGGGAACCCUGACGCAGCAACGCCGCGUGAUUGAAGAAGGCCUUCGGGUUGUAAAGAUCUUUAAUCGGGGACGAAACAUGACGGUACCCGAGGAAUAAGCUCCGGCUAACUACGUGCCAGCAGCCGCGGUAAUACGUAGGGAGCAAGCGUUAUCCGGAUUUACUGGGUGUAAAGGGCGUGUAGGCGGGCCUGCAAGUCAGAAGUGAAAUCUGGGGGCUUAACCCCCAAACUGCUUUUGAAACUGCGGGUCUUGAGUGAUGGAGAGGCAGGCGGAAUUCCCAGUGUAGCGGUGAUAUGCGUAGAUAUUGGGACGAACACCAUGGCGAAGGCGGCCUGCUGGACAUUGACUGACACUGAGGCGCGAAAGCGUGGGGAGCCAACAGGAUUAAUACCCUGGUAGUCCAGCCGAAACGAUGGAUACUAGGUGGGGGAGCGAAUUGACCCCUCCCGUC
rnacentral:rRNA from 1 species